UACAGAGGGUGCGAGCGUUAAUCGGAAUUACUGGGCGUAAAGCGUGCGUAGACGGUUGCAUAAGUCGGAUGUGAAAGCCCCGGGCUCAACCUGGGAAUGGCAUUCGAGACUGUGUAGCUAGGGUACGGAAGAGGGAAGUGGAAUUUCCGGUGUAGCGGUGAAAUGCGUAGAUAUCGGAAGGAACACCAGUGGCGAAAGCGACUUCCUGGUCCAGUACCGACGUUCAGGCACGAAAGCGUGGGGAGCAAACAGG
rnacentral:rRNA from 1 species